AGUGGCGGACGGGUGAGUAACGCGUGGGUAACCUGCCUUAUACAGGGGGAUAACAGUCAGAAAUGGCUGCUAAUACCGCAUAAGCGCACAGAGCUGCAUGGCUCAGUGUGAAAAACUCCGGUGGUAUAAGAUGGACCCGCGUUGGAUUAGCUUGUUGGUGAGGUAACGGCCCACCAAGGCGACGAUCCAUAGCCGGCCUGAGAGGGUGAACGGCCACAUUGGGACUGAGACACGGCCCAGACUCCUACGGGAGGCAGCAGUGGGGAAUAUUGCACAAUGGGGGAAACCCUGAUGCAGCGACGCCGCGUGAAGGAAGAAGUAUCUCGGUAUGUAAACUUCUAUCAGCAGGGAAGAUAGUGACGGUACCUGACUAAGAAGCCCCGGCUAACUACGUGCCAGCAGCCGCGGUAAUACGUAGGGGGCAAGCGUUAUCCGGAUUUACUGGGUGUAAAGGGAGCGUAGACGGUGUGGCAAGUCUGAUGUGAAAGGCAUGGGCUCAACCUGUGGACUGCAUUGGAAACUGUCAUACUUGAGUGCCGGAGGGGUAAGCGGAAUUCCUAGUGUAGCGGUGAAAUGCGUAGAUAUU
rnacentral:rRNA from 1 species